GCGCCCGUAGCUCAAUUGGAUAGAGCGACUGAUUACGGAUCAGUAGGCUGGGGAUUCGAGUUCUCCCGGGCGCACCA
rnacentral:tRNA from 1 species